CAUACAUCAUACAUAGUAUUAAAGUUCGAAACCAAAUUUUGGAUGUUCGGAUGUUCAGAAAGUGACGUCACCCAAAAUUUUUUCUCUCUUGAUCUAUAUGGACGAAAAUCAGUUGGCCGAAUUGCUCAGUCUGGAAACAACCACGCAGUAGAGCGGACGUAUGAGAAUCGCGCUCCGCAAAUUUCGAGUACCGGGUUCUCUACCUCCUGGAUCCUGCGCUCCGGGUCCGCUUCCUGGUGCGACUCGACGCCCAGGACAAGCGCUCCGUAGUUUCUGUGCUCCAGGUCCGCUAGCUGGUGAAACUUGAUUUCCAGGACAAGAGCUCCGUAGUUUUUGUGCUCUAGGUCCGCUACCUGGUGAAACUUAAUUUUCAGGACAAGAGCUCCGUAGUUUUUGUGCUCCAAGUCCGCUACCUGGUGAAACUCGACUUCAGGGACAAGCGCUCCGUAGUUUCUGCGUCCAAGGUCCACUACCUGGUGAAACUCGACUUCCAGAACAAGCGCUCCGUAGUUUCUGCGUCCAAGGUCCACUACCUGGUGCAACUCGAUUUCAGGGACAAGUGCUCCGUAGUUUCUACGCUCCAGGUCCGCUACCUGAUGAAACUCGACUCUCGGAGGACAAGGAAGACGAGAACAAGGUGCACGAAAGAAAGAGGAUUUCUGCACGGUCGUUAUCGGGGGGUGUUGGAGGUGGUCUGAGGUGGACAAAAAGGAGGACGAGGAAGACGUGGAGAACAAGGUGGGGGAGGAGAACGAGGAUUUGUGCUCGGUACAACCCAAAGUGGUUAUCGGUGGUCGUUGGAGGUGGUCGGAGGUGGACGAGGAGGAG
rnacentral:lncRNA from 1 species